UUCUGUGGCUAAGUUGGUCAAAGCACCGCAGCACCGUAGAAAAUACGGAGUCGUGGGCUCAAAUCCCACCAGAA
rnacentral:tRNA from 1 species